GACGAACGCUGGCGGCGUGCCUAAUACAUGCAAGUAGAACGCUGAAGAGAGGAGCUUACUCUUCUUGGAUGAGUUGCGAACGGGUGAGUAACGCGUAGGUAACCUGCCUUGUAGCGGGGGAUAACUAUUGGAAACGAUAGCUAAUACCGCAUAACAAUGGAUGACACAUGUCAUUUAUUUGAAAGGGGCAAUUGCUCCACUACAAGAUGGACCUGCGUUGUAUUAGCUAGUAGGUGAGGUAAUGGCUCACCUAGGCGACGAUACAUAGCCGACCUGAGAGGGUGAUCGGCCACACUGGGACUGAGACACGGCCCAGACUCCUACGGGAGGCAGCAGUAGGGAAUCUUCGGCAAUGGGGGCAACCCUGACCGAGCAACGCCGCGUGAGUGAAGAAGGGUUUCGGAUCGUAAAGCUCUGAUGUAAGUCAAGAACGGGUGUGAGAGUGGAAAGUUCACACUGUGACGGUAGCUUACCAGAAGGGGACGGCUAACUACGUG
rnacentral:rRNA from 1 species